UCUUAUUUUGAGGUCAGUUUUAGUUAUAAGCGGCUUCCUCUUGUGUAUUAUUUGUCUGGUAUAAUAGGGCACAAUCACUCUAGUUGCCAAAGAUUGAUCGACUUUUCGAAGGGGGAGCUAAUCUAAGGUUGGUCGGAGGAUAUACGAGCGGAGGUCAAACAUAGGAAUCGAAAACAAUUUGUUUAGUGGAGGCGUGAUUUAAGAAAGAAUGAGAAUUUUUGGGCCACAUUUCCGGUGGGAUUAUAUGACAUAGUGGGAGGGGAGAGUAAUUCACACAUCCAAAAUAGAUGGCUUUCUUAUCUAAAACAGGUAGCUCCCAAUGUCAAUGUUGGAGCUAAUGAUCAGGGCCAAGGGGCAUCAAGUGGACUAUCGAAUGAUGGCCCUUUUCCGGGGUAUCUAUUUGGGCCAAUUAGGAGUGUUGAACAAUCCAUUAAAGAUUCUAUUAAAAAAAAAAAAAAGUCUAGGCUCGAUUCUAAUGUUUCAGCUCAGCAUGUUUCUUCAAAUGAUACGGCCCAGCAUACUACUAUUUGGGGCAGCUCUAGCUUUAAUCAAACUACUGUAUCGGUCGGUCUCUUAGUGGAGACCCAUCGGAAGCCAUGAUUUGUAUUGCUUGGAACUGCCGGGGACUGGUAAUCCCCGUGCGGUACUCACUCUCAGGGAGCUUGUUCAUUCUAAUAAACCUAGUAUUUUGUUUUUAUUCGAGACUUUAGUUCAUUAAAAUAAAGAAUUGUGCAUUUCUUUACUUUUUGGUUAUUGUUUAUGUGUAGACCGUCUUGGUCGUAGUGCUGUACUUGCAUUAUUUUGGAAUUCGACUUUUAAUAUUUCUAUUUUCGGGUAUUCUUAGAAUCACAUUGAUGCUCUUGUUGAGUUAGACAAUGGUUUUAAAUAGAGGCUUACUGGUUUCUAUGGUUUUCCGGAGUCUAGUAGGAAGCGUGGUUCUUGGGCUUUGCUAAGACAUUUGACGUCCCUUAAUUCUCUUCCAUGGAUGUGCUUUGGGGAUUUCAAUAAUCUUUUGUCAAUUAAUGAUAAGAAAGGUGCUGCAGUUUACCUUACUAUUUGGCUCGAUGGUUUUCGUGAUUGUGUUUCAGACUGUAAUCUUUUAGAGGUUCCUCUUUUACUUGGGAACGGGGUAGGGGAACCAGUUCUUUUGUCAUGGAAAGGCUUAAUAGGGCUUUUGUAAAUGAUGCGUGGGUUCAACGCUAUCCAUUCCAUAAGCUUUAUAGUCGUGUGUGUCCCACUUCGUAUCACUCACCUAUUAAAUUAGUGGUGAAAGCUAGGUUUUCAACCCCAAGAGUUCGGCGCUUCAAGUUUGAGAAGUUUUGGCUUAGUGAAACAGGUACAAGUUGGGAGGAAAUUUCAGUUCUUGUAUUAAGGUUGUUAAGGAGGAACUUUUCCGGUCAUAUUCUAUAGGGAAUAAUGAUGAUGAGGUUCUAAAGUUAUGUUUUGACUUAAAUAUUUUGCUUGCUCAAGAGGGGUUUUAGAAACAGUGAGCUAGAUUUUUUCCAUGCUUGGGUGAGUAAAAGAAAAUGGUUAAAUCAUAUUUCUAUGCUUUAUGAUGAUGUGGGUCAGCAAUGUACUGACGAGGCGGGCA